GGAGAGUACAGCUCAGUGGUAGAGCGCGUGUUUGGCAGGCAUGAGGUCCUGGGUUCAUUCCCCAGUGCCUCCA
rnacentral:tRNA from 1 species